AAGUGACGAACAAAAAUAUUCCUACAGCAUUGUAGGAAUAGAGGUGUAUAGCAGUAGGCAAGAUUCUUUUUACUAAAAGUUAUUUCGAGCAAACAGCUUCCAAAACAUGUUUUCUAGAACUCAAAUACUAUGUUUACUUGUUGGGAAAACACCAUCAUAUGUCUCCUUUAAAUACAGGGUAACCCUCAGUAUGAAAUGCAUUUCAAUCACUUUAAUGUUUCCCGCUUUAAGUAAACGACUAGUAGCCCCUACACUGAAGGUUUUUCUAUUGAUUAAAAUCAAUGAAGAGAUUCUCUAUAUUUGAGAGAUAUAGUUGCACCGGAGUCAUGUCAUUUAUGUUCAGAGUUAGAGUCUGAAAGCUUUGCAACAAUGGAGCGGUGAGGGUUAGUUCCUUUUCUUUGCGGGACGGUGGGGGGAAGCUUGACUCCUCAAAUACUAUGUUUACUUGUUGGGAAAACACCAUAAUAUGUCUCCUUUAAAUACAGGGUAACCCUCAGUAUGAAAUGCAUUUCAAUCACUUUAAUGUUUCCCGCUUUAAGUAAACGACUAGUAGCCCCUACACUGAAGGUUUUUCUAUUGAUUAAAAUCAAUGAAGAUAAUAUAUAAUAUACAACUCAUAGAUGUAUGAUUUUAUUUGCUGUUGAAACAAGUGACGAACAAAAAUAUUCCUACAGCAUUGCAUCACAGGGCUAUACUCUUGCUUUUGGAUGCAACACUAUAACACCAUUUAUCGCUAGAGGGCAUUACAUCUUAAAUGCUUUUUUUUUUCUCAAGGCAAGCCACAAAAGAUAAGAUGCAGUCUCUAGACCACCACUCCAACUCUUUCACACUGCAGUCAGUUCCAAAAUGGGUGCAAGUCGCUUAGCCGUCUCUACCGUCUUCUUCCUUUCCCUCACACUUUCCAGUAGCCGAGCUGUGAAGAGCAGUUGCAUCCAAUGGAGAAAACCUGGUGAAUCUGUAAAAAUUAGCUGCAGUCCAACAUCAAAAGAAGAUCAUUUGUAUUUGUAUAAGUUUUGCGAGAGUUUCCCUGUUCUCCAAUGGGACCUAAAAGAUACAUUUACCAUUAAAGCUGGAUGGGAGCCAAGAGUCAAGACAGAAGUGACAGAGACCAAAGGACUAAUCAUCACAAUAGCCAACCUGACAGCAGAAGACACAGGUUACUACAACUGUCAGUACAAGGUGUUAAAAGAUUUCAAUUUGGUCGUGACGAGUGGAGCCGGCUCUGUUCUCCUGGUGGUUCAUGGUGAGUUAUACUUUGUGUUUACUACACAUCAUUAUGUUUGUUUUUAUUCUGUCCAAAACACCAAAAAUAGUCCAACGACAUGUCAGUUUUCGUUUAAGAUUAAACUUCAUGCCAGUGAAAGGGUUUGGUUUUCUCUUCUAAGUUUUUGAUCAAAUAGAUGCAGUUGAAACCUUCCCCUUGAUCCUAGUAGUUGUGCUGUGCGUUGUCAUCCUGCUACUUCUCUCUGUUCUGGUGACGAUGUGGAUUCUUCGAACGGUAUGCAAGCAUAAUAUAUAUUAUACAUCACUUUUUUUUUUUUGUAUUGUGUGUCUUUGUGAAGCGUAUUUUUGUAUCUUGACAAGCGCUAUAUCUGAAUAAAAUGUAUAAUCAUUAUGUAUGCGUACGUGUGCGAGUGUAUGUGCCAGAGCAUGAGUGUGUAAUUCCGUGUGUGAGUAAUUGCAUGUGUGUGUGCUUGUGCAAGUACAUGAAAGUAUUAUACAACUGCAUGAAUAUGUCUGUUCUUGCACUUGCAAGAACAGACAAAAAAAAAAAAAGGAAUAUGUAUGUGUCUGUGUUUGCAGGUAUGAGUGACAUUUGUGCGUGCAUUCAUGUGUGUUUGAUUGGGUGCUGGCAUGUGUUUGUGUAAUCUGACUGUAAUGACCUCAUUCUGCCAGGUGAAGUCCAUGCACAUUAAUGCUGUGAGGCCUGUCCAGCGAGCCCACCCCAGCGACGUCUACGAGGACAUGAGGAGCACCUGCAGGCGUUAGGCCCAUCUGCUUCCUAUCUUCCCAUCAUUGUGGAGCUCUCUAGAAUGAUUGCCUGGGGGAAAUUGAUUGAAUGUGUGCUAUGUCAUAAAUGGGUGCAAUGCCAUUAAUGAGGAGGGACCCCCCCCCCUCUUUAUUUUCUCCCUGUUACUUCUGGGGUCCAAUCAGUUUAGUGAAAAAAGUUUGAAAUAACUUGGGUGGCGCUUGGUGUCAGACCAGGCAGAUAGGGCCCUUAUAAUUAAAAAGGUUAAAAAACUGCUUAACUUCUAAUUUGCAAGAUAUCUGGGGAAGCAGAAGAACAAUGUAUACAGUACAAAUUAGUUGUUCAGAAAUGUAUUCACUGAGGUCGUUUGAUAGCCAACAUGCCUGAUGUGCACACAGUAGGUAGUGGUUUGAAAAAGCUCAGGCUGUCAAAAGGUUCUUGGUGUGAACUAAACUAGUUGAGGGUAUUCUCUUGACUAGAUUCUCUAUAUUUGAGAGAUAUAGUUGCACCGGAGUCAUGUCAUUUAUGUUCAGAGUUAGAGUCUGAAAGCUUUGCAACAAUGGAGCGGCGAGGGUUAGUUCCUUUUCUUUGCGGGACGGUGGGGGGAAGCUUGGCUCCUCUGAAUAUCUCAAAGUUUUGCACCAAAUUUGGUAGGUGGGUUAAGUCCAUGUCAAGUUAAUAACAUUUCGUGCCAAUUUCUGUACUAUGUAAUUAUUUUUCUGAUAUUGCUGAAAGGGUUGGGUCAUAUUUAGCCUGUUGUUGAAUGCAUAUGUUGUACAGAAUUGUUUAAAGAUGGAACUGAUUCAUCAAAAUAUUUGUCUUGCAUUAUGCAUACCUGCAAAUGUAUUUGAUGUACUCAUUUAAAUAAAAAAAUAAUUCCAACUGAAUCUUUUAAACACAUUGCUAACCAUAUUACCAUACUACCUAUAACUUUGACACCGUCAUUACAGUGCAACGCAAGCGUUAAUUUCUGUCUCGCUAUAAAUAACGACAAUUUUCUUUGAGCAAUUCAAAUUAAAGUCAAUAAUCAAAAAUCACACAGCACAUACACAAGCACACUGGCUGUUGGCCGCUCAGGUAAAGUUUCAUGUUGAUUAACUUUUUGAAUUCUUGUAGCCAACAUCUUCUUGGGCUGGUGUGCAAGCAUCUAAAACAUUUUCUUCAUAUUUGAUAUCUAACCAUCAAUAUAGACAACAUUGUUCAACAAGUUGUUGUAGAGUACUCUACAAUGUCAUUUCUUACAGUUCUUCUUAGGCUAUUGGAACUCAUACCUGAUGGAAGGCAGUGCUGGCACAACAAUACAAGUAUACAGGCACAGACACUCAUAGUAGACGUAAACCCUCAGAUCACUAAAAACAACCACAGUCCAUUAUCAUAAAUAACAAUUUCAUAAUUACGUAUACACAUCACAAAAGUUUGCAGUAUCCAAAUUCAGUUAAAAAAAGACCAAAUAAAUAAAUCUUUAGGAAACAGGCUCAAGUGUGCUCGGGUAUUACUUAAUACUUAUAUUUUAUAUUCCUUAAUUGAGUGUGUGUGUGUGUGUGUGUGUGUGUGUGUGUGUGUGUGUGUAUGUGUGGUGUCUUGUAGUGUUCAUGAUCUUUGGAAAUGUGCAAGAUAUGCAUCCGGUAUGUUAAGGUUUAUGACCAUAGCGCUGCACAUCGCACCCAGUAUGUUUUUGUAUGACGCAGGCUGAUGAAAGACUUCCUGUCAACAAUGACAGGAUGGAAACAAUACGGUGGUGGAGACAUAUGUGCAGGCAUGCUACUGUAUGGUGCCACUUGCACAACUCUUUUUUCUCUCUGUGACCUUUUACAUCACAGUGAGAAUAUAAGAGCCAAAGUCAUUCUAUGUUUACUACUAUAUUAAAUAGUCGGACUGAGAUGAAAUUUUACAAAUCAACUUAGUUGCAAACUAAAUACUUAUUACUUAUUAUCUUAUAUUUAAUAAAAAAGGGUUUCAAUAAUGAACAUAUGAGCAGCUAUUUCAUGAUGUUUUAAACGAAGGCAAGAUAUGCAUGAAGCGCCCCCAUGCCAUUGCUAUGGGCAUGAGUGACCAUUUAAUUAACUAACAGUUUACUGGGACGCACCUAAGUGCAAUUAAAUUAGCUGACCACACACUAUGUGUGGUAAUCUACACGAUUUAUGUUAUUUGUAUUGUAGUGUGUCAUAGUGUAUUUUAUGACAACACAUUCUCACUCCGAGCGCUUCGAUUUUUGACCCUCGGUCAGUGACUUUGGCUUCAGCUUCUGACGCAAAAGGGUACCCUUGUACUUCUUUUUUCAACUCAUUACAAUGUAAUCCCUCCAUGGCAAUAUAUGGAGCUAUGAGCAUUCAUCCCAUUGGCUAACGGGUGACCCGAUGGUUGCACAUAGAGACGCUAUGAGCAUUCAUCCCAUUGGCUAACGGAAGACCCGAUGGCUGCACAUUACAUUUACAGUGAAAUCUGUGACAUUACUCAACACAACUACACCAACGUGUCCUUGUUAAUUACACAACAUUUAUGGAUUAAGGCUAUGGACAUCAGUUGUCCUGUUUUGUGCUUUGAUUGAGAGAAACAAUAAUCUUUUGGAUCAGUGUUGGGUAUCUGAGGUCAUUGCUAUAGAGACCAAGUCCGUCCGCUUUGUUUGACAACUGACGGAGCAAUUAACCCUAUCUCAUCAAAAUUACGUUCCCAGAGAACUAUUCGGCAUUCUCAAUUGCGUUUGUCUGAAAAACGUAUUUUGUCCGUGCCACGUUUUAUUGAACAUAUCGCAAAUACGAAUUCGUUCUCAGCCUAUUUUUUGCCAUUUAUUUACCGUGUUACUAUGGCAGAAUAAAGAUUAAAUUCAUGCAUUAUCAUUCAACUUGAACAUGUGUUUUUACAGUAUAGAGUGGUGAAGGGAUGACGCAUGUUGGCCAACCCGGAAAUGAGCGUCGCCCUGGGUUCCCUUAACAACAAGCCAACGGGUUUUUCCAUUGGAUUUUGGAUGAUUGCAGAAAAUCUUGCAUUUUGGAAGCACCUCCUCAAAAACUGAAAAUAAAUAAAUAAAUAAAAUAACGGUGCUCCAAAUAUCGAAAUGUAAACCAAUGAAUUCUGAAUGGGAGUGUUUCUCUGAUUUUUCCAUGCUACACAGAAAGAAAUGUAAACCCAUGCAAAUAAAGGCUCCAAGGUCAUAAUAAUUUAAAUAUAAUUAAUCUCCUGAGUGUGUAGGCCGGUUAUGUAAUCAAUUUCAAUGGGGCUGCGUUCACGUCACCUGACUGUCAUGGUUGCUAUGGUGGUUGCUAUCGACUGCCCCCUCUAAUCCUUACAUGGCUGUAAAAACCAACCACGCGGCAAAGGAGCUGCCGUCAAUUGUGUUUUUUUUGUCGUAAACUAGGGUCCGAUGGUUAAAAAAUAG
ensembl:lncRNA